AGAGGGAUAGCCCAGAGAAAUUUGGAUUAAUACUUCAUAGUAUAUAUCAUUCGCAUGUUUGGUAUAUUAAAGUUCCAACGGUAAAAGAUGAGCAUGCGUCCCAUUAGUUAGUUGGUAAGGUAACGGCUUACCAAGACGAUGAUGGGUAGGGGUCCUGAGAGGGAGAUCCCCCACACUGGUACUGAGACACGGACCAGACUCCUACGGGAGGCAGCAGUGAGGAAUAUUGGUCAAUGGACGCAAGUCUGAACCAGCCAUGCCGCGUGCAGGAAGACGGUCCUAUGGAUUGUAAACUGCUUUUGUACGGGAAGAAACACUCCUACGUGUAGGAGCCUGACGGUACCGUAAGAAUAAGGAUCGGCUAACUCCGUGCCAGCAGCCGCGGUAAUACGGAGGAUCCAAGCGUUAUCCGGAAUCAUUGGGUUUAAAGGGUCCGUAGGCGGUUUAAUAAGUCAGUGGUGAAAUCUGGUCGCUCAACGAUCAAACUGCCAUUGAUACUGUUAGACUUGAAUUACUGUGAAGUAACUAGAAUAUGUAGUGUAGCGGUGAAAUGCUUAGAUAUUACAUGGAAUACCAAUUGCGAAGGCAGGUUACUAACAGUUGAUUGACGCUGAUGGACGAAAGCGUGGGGAGCGAACAGGAUUAGAUACCCUGGUAGUCCACGCCGUAAACGAUGGAUACUAGUUGUUUGGAGCAAUCUGAGUGACUAAGCGAAAGUGAUAAGUUCCCACCUGGG
rnacentral:rRNA from 1 species